rnacentral:miRNA from 1 species
AUGGAGGCUCAGGCUCA